rnacentral:rRNA from 1 species
AGCGAACGCUGGCGGCAGGCCUAACACAUGCAAGUCGAGCGCCGUAGCAAUACGGAGCGGCAGACGGGAGAGUAACACGUGGGAACGUGCCCUUUGGUUCGGAACAACCCAGGGAAACUUGGGCUAAUACCGGAUAAGCCCUUACGGGGAAAGAUUUAUCGCCGAAGGAUCGGCCCGCGUCUGAUUAGCUAGUUGGUGGGGUAAUGGCCCACCAAGGCGACGAUCAGUAGCUGGUCUGAGAGGAUGAUCAGCCUCACUGGGACUGAGACACGGCCCAGACUCCUACGGGAGGCAGCAGUGGGGAAUAUUGGACAAUGGGCGCAAGCCUGAUCCAGCCAUGCCGCGUGGGUGAUGAAGGCCCUAGGGUUGUAAAGCCCUUUCGGCGGGGAAGAUAAUGACGGUACCCGCAGAAGAAGCCCCGGCUAACUUCGUGCCAGCCGCCGCCGUAA